GCACAUGCAGAUUACCUCUAAAGCAAGGUGCGUGGCUGCGCAUGCACUCAGCCGCGCUUACAGCCAUGCACAGCCACAGCCAAGACACACACGCACCAGAAAU
rnacentral:lncRNA from 1 species